GAUNAACGCUAGCUACAGGCUUAACACAUGCAAGUCGAGGGGAAACGACAUCGAAAGCUUGCUUUUGAUGGGCGUCGACCGGCGCACGGGUGAGUAACGCGUAUCCAACCUGCCCACCACUUGGGGAUAACCUUGCGAAAGUAAGACUAAUACCCGAUGAUAUCCCUAGAAGACAUCUGAAAAGGGAUUAAAGAUUUAUCGGUGAUGGAUGGGGAUGCGUCUGAUUAGCUUGUUGGCGGGGUAACGGCCCACCAAGGCGACGAUCAGUAGGGGUUCUGAGAGGAAGGUCCCCCACAUUGGAACUGAGACACGGUCCAAACUCCUACGGGAGGCAGCAGUGAGGAAUAUUGGUCAAUGGGCGAGAGCCUGAACCAGCCAAGUAGCGUGCAGGACGACGGCCCUAUGGGUUGUAAACUGCUUUUAUAAGGGAAUAAAGUGAGUCUCGUGAGACUUUUUGCAUGUACCUUAUGAAUAAGGACCGGCUAAUUCCGUG
rnacentral:rRNA from 1 species